rnacentral:rRNA from 1 species
AUACGGAGGAUCCGAGCGUUAUCCGGAUUUAUUGGGUUUAAAGGGAGCGUAGGUGGAUUGUUAAGUCAGUUGUGAAAGUUUGCGGCUCAACCGUAAAAUUGCAGUUGAAACUGGCAGUCUUGAGUACAGUAGAGGUGGGCGGAAUUCGUGGUGUAGCGGGUAAAUGCUUAGAUAUCACGAAGAACUCCGAUUGCGAAGGCAGCUCACUAGACUGUUACUGACACUGAUGCUCGAAAGUGUGGGUAUCAAACAGGAUUAGAUACCCUGGUAGUCCACACAGUAAACGAUGAAUACUCGCUGUUUGCGAUAUACAGUAAGCGGCCAAGCGAAAGCAUUAAGUAUUCCACCUGGGGAGUACGCCGGCAACGGUGAAACUCAAAGGAAUUGACGGGG